rnacentral:lncRNA from 1 species
AUUUUGAAUAGUGUAUUAUUUAGUUAUCUAGUAGGUAGGAGACAAAUCAUAACACAUCGUUGUCAAUAUAAUGGAAUUUUAUGCGGCUGUCAUACAAUUGAGUGGUUUAGCAAGCUAUAAAACCAGGUUUUAUCCACCAUUUUCUAAUACGUACAUGCAUUUACAAAGUCAGGAAUAUGACAGUUGUUAUUCAUUCAUUUGAUGUGUUUUAGCUUGUAAUUUUUCCAUUUGCUAAAGAACUCUCCGUUUGGAAUUAUCGUCGGAAUUCGGUAUUUUUGUUAUUCUACAUUAUACGAAAAAACAACAGUAGCGUAACAAACAUAUAAAGCAACUACGAAAGGGAAAAACAAUAACUCAUAAAAAGCUCACAAAUCCCUCAUGAAGUACAACAAAGAACGAACUCAAAGAAACAAAUUAUGGGUUAACAAUGGUUCAAAAACUAAUGAAACCUGCUACUCGUAAAAAAAAUUAAAUGUGGCAGUAAUUGCCAGAAUUUUAAUCACAUACCUCACAGACAUACUGUACAAUAGCCAAAAAAGUAGCGUAUGAUAAUUACUCGAUAGAUUACGAAUUAAAUAAAAUAUAAGUACACAAGUAAACAAAAAUGAAUGAACACUGGACAAAACGUCUUAUGUCAGACAAAGCAACAUGAACUUAACCAAAAUUCAAGAAUCAAAUACAAAAAAGAAGAUGUGGUAUAAUUGCCAAUGAGACAACUGUCCACAAGAGACCAAAAUGACACAGACAUUAACAACUAUAGGUCAUCGUACGGCCUUCAACAAUGAACAAAGCCCAUGCGUAUUCCGGAAAGGAUAAGCAGCUCCUACUACGUGUGGAUCAAUAGACCGUAUAGUGACUUCUAGUCGUCUUUUGGUAUUUCAAUAUAUGACGAAUAUCCAUAAAACAAUUAAAAGCUCAUUGCCUUACUAAUUCUCAGACAGCUUUAGCCUGGUUUGUCAUAUCUUUUUGGACUUUUUGGUUUUUCCAACGAAGAUAAGAACGAAC